ACGAACGCUGGCGGCGUGCUUAACACAUGCAAGUCGAACGGAAAGGCCCUGCUUUUGUGGGGUGCUCGCGUGGCGAACGGGUGAGUAACGCGUGAGUAACCUGCCCUUGACUUUGGGAUAACUUCAGGAAACUGGGGCUAAUACCGGAUAGGAGCUCCUGCUGCAUGGUGGGGGUUGGAAAGUUUCGGCGGUUGGGGAUGGACUCGCGGCUUAUCAGCUUGUUGGUGGGGUAGUGGCUUACCAAGGCUUUGACGGGUAGCCGGCCUGAGAGGGUGACCGGCCACAUUGGGACUGAGAUACGGCCCAGACUCCUACGGGAGGCAGCAGUGGGGAAUAUUGCACAAUGGGCGGAAGCCUGAUGCAGCAACGCCGCGUGCGGGAUGACGGCCUUCGGGUUGUAAACCGCUUUCGCCUGUGACGAAGCGUGAGUGACGGUAAUGGGUAAAGAAGCACCGGCUAACUACGUG
rnacentral:rRNA from 1 species